rnacentral:lncRNA from 1 species
GAUAGGUUUCUCAAAGAGAGUACAGAGAGUUUAAAUAGAGAAAGAAGAGAAGGUGAGAAGACAGAACAACAAAGCCUCGGAAAAGACAACAGAAUUAAAAGAAAAGUUUGAAAACGAAAUUAGGCUCCUCCCCUUCCAUUUGGCGUGAUCUUGAGACAUAGGAGGCCUUGGGCUUCUGAUUCAACAAAUGGGCUAUGAUGGAGUGAGACAAUUGCCUCGUUAAAAACCUAACAAGGAAAACCCAAUGGGACAAAACCUUGCUAGGGAAAAAGAGUACAACUGACUCACUCUCCCAUUGUUGAAUCCUAUUG